ACAGAUCAGGGAAGCUGAGACUCACCCUCUGUGGAAAGAACUCGUCCUUGCUGUCCCAGUGCUCCUGUCACCCUCUUCUGAAUACUAAGUUAGGCAUAAUUAGCUGGCAGUUGCCAGCAAGAUCCUAGCAAUUAUCAGACAGGCUGCUACCUUCUCACUCUGUAAUAGCCACACUGCGGUGAUCCAUUAAGCAAAGAGGGUUCUUCAAUCUCAAAAGAAUCGCUUCUUCCUGAAUUGAGACUCAGGCCUCAACUGCUUUCCUGAAAUGGGAGAAGUCGCCAGGAGUUCCUUCUCACCCUCCCUGGCCUCAUUGAACCUCCAUCUCUUCUCCGUGGACGCUAGUUUCACGGUGACUUAACUUCGCGAUUGCCUUCUUUUCUGGCUUGUGAGAAGACGCACACAGAUUGUUCUGGAAAAACCAACUGGAGGCACCAGAUCAAAGGCUGAGCAGAACGGGCGUCAGGCUUAAGACUUUGCACUGAGAGGGAACACUCGACCACGUUGAUGCCAGCUGUCUGCCCUGGGAUUCCAGCUGCCUUAGACUCUCACACCUUCAUCCUGUCUCCUCGGUGGGAUCUCUGUGCGCUGCUCAGGUUGCCCCUCCC